UACGGGGGGUGCAAGCGUUACUCGGAAUCACUGGGCGUAAAGGGCGCGUAGGCGGCUUGUUAAGUCUGAUGUGAAAGCCCUGGGCUUAACCUGGGAACGGCAUUGGAUACUGGCGAGCUAGAGUUCGGUAGAGGGUGGUGGAAUUCCCGGUGUAGCGGUGAAAUGCGUAGAGAUCGGGAGGAACACCGGUGGCGAAGGCGGCCACCUGGACCGAGACUGACGCUGAGGGACGAAAGCGUGGGGAGCAAACAGG
rnacentral:rRNA from 1 species